UACGUAGGGUGCGAGCGUUAAUCGGAAUUACUGGGCGUAAAGCGUGCGCAGGCGGUUUUGUAAGCCAGAUGUGAAAUCCCCGGGCUUAACCUGGGAAUGGCAUUUGGGACUGCAAGGCUUGAGUGCGGCAGAGGAGACUGGAAUUCCCGGUGUAGCGGUGAAAUGCGUAGAGAUCGGAAAGAACACCAACGGCGAAAGCACUCUGCUGGGCCGACACUGACACUGAGAGACGAAAGCUAGGGGAGCGAAUGGG
rnacentral:rRNA from 1 species